rnacentral:rRNA from 1 species
GACGAACGCUGGCGGCGUGCUUAACACAUGCAAGUCGAACGGAAAGGCCCGGCGUUUGUGGGGUUCUCGAUUGGCGAACGGGUGAGUAACACGUGAGUAACCUGCCCUUGACUUUGGGAUAACUUCAGGAAACUGGGGCUAAUACCGGAUAGGAUCUCCUGCUGCAUGGUGGGGGUUGGAAAGUUUCGGCGGUUGGGGAUGGACUCGCGGGUUAUCAGCUUGUUGGUGGGGUAGUGGCUUACCAAGGCUUUGACGGGUAGCCGGCGUGAGUGGGUGGUCGGCCGCCCGGGAAGGGGGACAGGGUCCAGAGGCCUAGGGGAGGCACCAGUAGGGAAUCGGGCGCAAUGGGCGGAAGACUGACGAAACAGGGCCGAGGGAGUGAGGAAGGUCGCCGGAUCGGGAAACUCGGUUAUGGGGGAAGAACAUAUUUGUAAGUGACUGUGCACAUCUUGACGGUACCUAGUCAGAAAGCCACGGCUAACUACGUG